UAGGGAAUCUUCCACAAUGGACGCAAGUCUGAUGGAGCAACGCCGCGUGAGUGAAGAAGGUUUUCGGACCGUAAAGCUCUGUUGUUGGUGAAGAAGGAUAGAGGUAGUAACUGGCCUUUAUUUGACGGUAAUCAACCAGAAAGUCACGGCUAACUACGUGCCAGCAGCCGCGGUAAUACGUAGGUGGCAAGCGUUGUCCGGAUUUAUUGGGCGUAAAGCGAGCGCAGGCGGAAGAAUAAGUCUGACGUGAAAGCCCUCGGCUUAACCGAGGAAUUGCAUCGGAAA
rnacentral:rRNA from 1 species